AGAGUUUGAUCCUGGCUCAGGACGAACGCUGGCGGCGUGCUUAACACAUGCAAGUCGAACGGGGUAUUCAGCAAUGAAUACCUAGUGGCGAACGGGUGAGUAACGCGUAGACAACCUGCCUCAAAGUUGGGGACAACACCGCGAAAGUGGUGCUAAUACCGAAUACGUCUUCUUUUGUGCAUGCAAAAGAAAAGAAAGGU
rnacentral:rRNA from 1 species